rnacentral:lncRNA from 1 species
AUGCAGGAUAGCUUUACGCAGAACACCUGGACUCAUGGUCUCAAAUCCAAGGAAGAUGCAGCUCAGCUGAUCAAAGGUUGGAUUGAGGAGGUGGAACUAAGGUUCUCCACCAAAGUGCAAGCUGUCACCAGUGACAGAGGAGCUCAGUUUACAGGUUCUGCUUUGCAGAAGUUCUUUCGCAAGAAAGGGAUACGUCACUCAGUGACUUCACCCAAUCAGAGGGGGGUGGCAGAGCUCAGAUGUGAGGCUCUGGUCAAGGCUGCAAAGGUGUUGCUGGAAGAUUCUGGGUUGCCACCAAAGUUUUGGCUGGAGGCAAUCAAGUAUGUGGGCUUCACCUGGAAUCGUACCUACAAUUCACUGAUAGGUGACACACCCUUUGGUUUGUUGCAUGGCAGGAAACCCCAGAUUCAUUUUCUGCGUACGUUUGGUCCGCAUGCAUCUGUGCCGGUGCCUAAGGCUUUGCAAGGGUCAGAUGGAUCCAAGUUCCGGAAAAUGAUCUUCUGUGGGUAUGAGCCAGCAGCGCGUGCAUGGAGGUUUGCGUUCCCAUCAGGUGAUCAGAGUAAGUUACUGAUCAGCAAACACGCUGAGUUUUAUGAGCAGGAUGAAAGGUCAAAGACUCCUGUCAAGCGUGAUGUUCUUUCAGAAUGUCUUUCUGAUUCAGAACAGGAAGGUUCUGAGGAGGAGGAAGGAGAGGCUGAUGACGAUCAGGUCACUGACCAAAGUCUGGAGCAGGGUGGGGCAUCUCCACAAGUUGUUAAAAGAGAGGUCAAGAGUGAACCUAGUUCUCCAGUGAGUGUAAUGGAGAGGAUUCGAAGUCGUUUUAAGUCAGAAGGGGAAUCCCGUGAUGCUGAGGACACACCUGCUGGUGAUGGUGAGUCAGGGGAAGCAUCUGAGUUUGUGCCCAGGCGAUCCAGUCGUACAACGAAGGGUAUUCCACCUGAAAGGUAUCAGGCCACAGGUGCGUGGGUAAGUUUCGCACUGUGUGAGUCUGAGAGGUAUGUGGAUGUUCCACAGGUCUUGUCAGAAUGUGAUGCAAGAGGGGGUGUUAGAGUCGGAACUUAA